rnacentral:rRNA from 1 species
UACGAAGGGGGCUAGCGUUGCUCGGAAUCACUGGGCGUAAAGCGCACGUAGGCGGAUCUUUAAGUCAGGGGUGAAAUCCCGGAGCUCAACUCCGGAACUGCCUUUGAUACUGGAGAUCUUGAGUCCGGGAGAGGUGAGUGGAACUGCGAGUGUAGAGGUGAAAUUCGUAGAUAUUCGCAAGAACACCAGUGGCGAAGGCGGCUCACUGGCCCGGUACUGACGCUGAGGUGCGAAAGCGUGGGGAGCAAACAGG